rnacentral:lncRNA from 1 species
GUAGGUUGCUUGGACAACCCUGGCAAGAUCUUCCCCCAGACAUCCACCUUGGCGGCCGACUUAUUAACUCAUUGGUCUAUUGACUUUUGCUCCUUGCCUCGCCCCUGAUCCCUGUGCCCUCUUUCUAAUAAGCUACCUGCUGGUGAGGCUCUGCCUUGGGGGAAACCCAGGCUGAGGCAGGUGGGAUGUUAUAACCAGGGAGGCCUGAGUCCUGGGUCUUUGCCUGGGGUCCCCAAAUAGGAGAGGGAUUGGAGGAGGUAUUGUAGGGGAGAGUGUUGCAAAAGCCCAGAGGAAAGGAGUGCUGUUACCACAACAGAGGAGACAUGAACCUGCACAGACCAAAAACACGAGAGAGAGAGGGAAAGAGAAAGAGAAGGGGGAGAAAGAAAGGGAGAGACAGAAAGAGGAAGGGAGAGAUGGGGAAAGAGGAGAGGAGAAAGGGAGGGAGAGAAAGAAAGGAGAUGGAGAGAGAAAAGGGUGGGGAGAGAGAUAAAGAGAGAGGUAAAGAGAGAGAGAAUCAUCUACUACAUGAUUCCUUUUUUUUUUUUUCUGAGAUGGAGUUUCGCUCUUGUUGCCCAGGCUGGAGUGCAGUGGUGUGAUCUCGGCUCACUGCAACCUCCACCUCCCAGGUUCAAGCGAUUCUCCUACCUCAGCUUCCUGAGUAGCUGGGAUUACAGGUGCCUGCCACCAUGCCCAGCUAAUUUUUGUAUUUUUGGUAGAGACGGGGUUUCACCGUAUUGACCAGGCUGGUCUCGAACUCCUGACCUCAGGUGAUCCGCCCGCCUUGGCCUCCCAAAGUGCUGGGAUUACAGGUGUGAGCCACCGCGCCUGGCCAUGAUUUUUUUUUUUAACCUAUAAAAGCCUUGAGUAGUGAUGGAAGCGAUUCCUAGUAAUGUCGUUUACUAAAGGGUCAGGCUGUCAGUUCACCACAAAUACGCCACAGUAGUGUUUGGUAUUCUCUCAAUGUUCCACCCACCAGAGCAUACAAAACAGCCACAUUCCCCAAACAGUUAAUUCUCAAAACAUACUUGUAGAGGAGGGAAGCCUAUUACUCCCAUUAGAAAGAUGGAAAACCAAGGUGAAAUGAUUAACUGAGCUACCAGGGCCUCAGAAGAAAGUCGCUGCUGAGUUUGGGAUUGUGUUUUCAGCUUCCUGCCCACGUGGGUGAGCUCCACCUUUUACUGGAACCAACUCCAAGGAGGAAGGUUUGCUGGGUUUCCUGGAAGGCAAAGGUUUGCAUCUGCAUGCCCUGCGUGGAGGCAUUGUAUUUGGGGGCAGGCAGGAGAAUACUGUAGCUGGUGUGCCCACAGAAAGGGAGGGAGAGAAGCCACUGGGAGUGAGCUGGGCUUGGGAUCGGGCUGUGUCCUCACCAACUGUCUGCCCAGGCAUGAACUUGCCACUGCUGUGGAAGAGUCUGACUGCACCCAAGAAUGCCAAAGGUUGUGGCUGAACUCACUUCUCAACAGACUUGGAUCAUGUUCAUAUACUAUUCUUUAAAAGAUCACCAUUUGUAGUAGAAUGUCAAAAACCCAAAGAUGUUGCUCCCGAUGUUGAGCUGUAACUAUUUUCUGUGUUGGUGGAAAAAUAUGACAGAAUUAGUUGCCAUUCAUGAAUCUCAGUGAUACACAGACAAAAGCAUGCUUCAAUUUUGUUUCUUUGUUUUUGAGUGGUUCUGAUUUAUUUUCAGCUUUUGGGUGAUGUCUGGGGCUGUUUAUUGAGGACGGGAUAAAUGGGGGGGGGGACCAAAAUAUAUUUGGCAUUUAUUGGUGGUGUUUUAUAUUUGUGACUUGAUUUACUUCUUAUCACAACCCAGUGAGACACGUACUAUUAUCAUCCUUUUAAUAGAUGAGCAGCCUGGAGCUUAGAGAGGUUAGGUAGCAUGGACAUCAUCAGGCAAGUUAAAUGAGAAAGCUGCCACCCAUUCCCAGCUGGGGCUCACCCCAGCGCCUGUGUUAUUUCUGUUGCCCUGAGCCUCCCCAGACUUCUUAACCCACGUGUACUCCUAGCUUCCAGCAGUGCUAAUUUACACCGUGUACCAGCUGGAGACAUUCUGGAGUGUAGACUGACGCAAUAAUCCCCAAUCAUAGGUUUGCCAUUUUUUUUUAAAUGUGUUUUUUCCUACUGUUUAUUAUGGAUGUCAGAAUUUUCUCCUUCCCUGAGUUAUCUUUGGACUUAGAUGUAUAUAAAUGUAUCUGGUUGGAGGUGGGGGGAAAAGUGGAAGUGGAAGACCACAAAAGUAAAAAUGAAAUUUGAGUGUAUUUCACCGAUUCUAAGAGGAAUGCUUUCUCAUGCUCCAACCACUCUGAAAUCUCCGGGUCCCAUACUCCCAUCGCAGCUGUGUGACAUGGUUGCCGUGGCCUUUGUGUGAACAUCAAAGCUCAGAGGACGGGUGUCAGAGGCUUAGAUGAAAAUCCUGAAGACAAUUGUCUGGCACUUUUCAAAGCAAUACGGCCACACCAAAACCCUCCUGGAAGCUCUUGAUGGCUCAAGGUUCAACAGUGUCUGGGAAGACACGGAUAUAAAAGAUCCAGAAUCAAAGAGUGAUUCCAAAGAGUUAGAGGCUGACUGUGAAGUCUUAGGCAUACUGUAACCCAGUGAUUUACCUAUCUUUGCUUUUCUGCACAUGCAGAAGAGUGAUAUAUGAUGAAUAAAUUCUAAGUUCAAUUAGGCCUAAAGGAGCUCUUGUAAUAUGCUUUAAAAAGUCUAAGUGAUAAAACAUUGUGACAGAUAGAGUUCUGUCAGUGUUUAUAUUUUCUUAGUCCUUCAUUAAAUAACAGUGUCUCUUACACCAAGGCAGUUUUGGAUUCCAUAAAAUAUGGUAGUAGUUAUGUUUUAUGUUUCAAUAGUCAUCAAUCUGUUUUUAAUGUAUUCAUGGAAAAAUAUGUGGGCCAUCUUGCUAUUUAACUAUUUUUGAAAUCUCAUGGAAGCCUGCCAAUGUUUUUGCAAUUUAGCUGCUGUCUUGCUUUUUGAGAGGGGAAGUUCCAAUAUUGUAAGUCUAGGUUUCUGAAUAUAUUUUUGUUUUUUAAUAAAUGUAGAAAGAAUGUUUUUUGUUAAUCCUGGCAUUUGUCUAGAGCAAAAGCAAAAUAAAUGAAAAGUGAGGAAAAUUAAAAGGCUUGCGUUAUAACAUGUGCUAUCUAGAGAAUAAAAACUCAUUUGUGCAAAGUUGGUAUGGCUUUUAUGAAAAUAUUUCAGUCCGAGCACCUUGCCUGUUUGCUGCAGUGCUGACUGACUCAUGAUUAGGGAUCUGUGUUGCCUUUAUUGCUCUCGGUUUGCCCUAUGGCUUGAUUUAUUAAUAUAUUUAAAUAUACAAUUUUAACCUUA